rnacentral:rRNA from 1 species
GACGAACCGAGCGAACGUUGUUCGGAAUCACUGGGCUUAAAGGGCGCGUAGGCGGGUGCUCAAGUCCGGGGUGAAAUCCUCCAGCUCAACUGGAGAACUGCCUCGGAUACUGGGUGUCUCGAGUGUGGUAGGGGUAUGCGGAACUAUCGGUGGAGCGGUGAAAUGCGUUGAUAUCGAUAGGAACUCCGGUGGCGAAGGCGGCAUACUGGACCACUACUGACGCUGAUGCGCGAAAGCCAGGGGAGCAAGCGGG